rnacentral:rRNA from 1 species
AGCCCCGCUCUCCCCCAAAGGAGGCGGAGUUGAGAAAUUCACGACACUCAAACAGUGUGCCCCUCGGAAUACCAAGGGGCGCAAGGUGCGUUCAAAGAUUCGAUGAUUCACUGAAUUCUGCAAUUCACAUUACUUAUCGCAUUUCGCUGCGUUCUUC